ACAUUCACGUAAUUGGCAAAUCUGGAAGGCACUUCCCGGUCAGAGCCAAGUUCAAGGUGGCAGAAGAAACAGUGUGGGUGACCAGAGGCUAUAAAAGACAAUGAAACCAGAGAUCAGGUUUUUUGGGGGGAGCAAGUAGAAGAAGAGGCCAAAGGAGCCACCUCAAUAACAAAGGAGGGGCUGGCCCCGUGGCGCACUCGGGAGAGUGGGGCUUCGGAUUCUAUAUAGAAAUGACCGGUCUGCUCACUGGCUGAGCAUGGUGCGGCCGGUCACGGAAAAAAGAAAAAUAAUAAUAAUAAUAAUAACAAAGGAGGCCUGCAGGCUUGGCAUGCAGCAGGCUUUUAGAGGGUCCAACACCAAGCAGAGUCUUUGUCUCAGCAGCAGUCACACUGUGUGUGCCUCAGAUCCUUUGAUAUGUGUAACACCAUCUGAUUACAGCAGGCUGGUAUCCUAGAAAUAGAACCCAAGGCCUGAGAAAUGGGUCAUUCUGUCUGCUCAGGUCAGGGUGAUAUGUGAAUGCAGCACAAAUACUAAGAAAUAAGGGCUGUAGAUUGGAAGAAUGGAAUAAAAGGGAUCAGCACUUAGCACCUAAUAAAAACAUCAGUGACAGCCACCUGAAGCAAAAUCACUGUUUUCCUUUGAAUAUGAAUUGAGUUUUCUUAAUAGCAUUUCCUAUUUUCAAAAAUG